UACAGGAGGGGGCAAGCGUUGUUCGGAAUUACUGGGCGUAAAGGGCGCGUAGGCGGCCUUCUAAGUCGAACGUGAAAUCCCCGGGCUCAACCCGGGAACUGCGUCCGAUACUGGAAGGCUUGAAUCCGGGAGAGGGAUGCGGAAUUCCGUGGUGUAGCGGUGAAAUGCGCAGAUAUCAGGAAGAACACCCGUGGCGAAGGCGGCUCUCUGGGACGGUACUGACGCUGAGACGCGAAAGCGUGGGGAGCGAACAGG
rnacentral:rRNA from 1 species